GCUUCCACCAAUCCUGUUCAUAGAUGCAGUGUAAAUGAAAGGGAGGAGAUGAGGAAAGGCAGCCACUUUAGCCUGUUGAGAUUCAUCCUAAACCUGAAUAGAGCUUCACCCCGAGGCUCUGGCCAUGAUCGUGACUACACCAUGAGGAGUGGGGACUGCUGAGGACUGCUGCUCUGAAGCGAAGCACCGAAGAACAGACUCACGCCUUGGUGAGCAGCAAUGCAUGUGGACAUAACUAACUAUUUUCACAGAAGUGUUUUAAUUUGGAGUUUACUGGACUCCAGUGUAAAUUGCUUUCUCGGUUGCUAUGGUGCCAUUGAGGUGGAUUGUUGUACGCUGUCAGGGCGGCCUGGCUGCGUUGGACCGGGCUGUGAGGUGGUGGUGGUCUCUGGGUGCUGGUCUAGGCAGAGAGGCAGAGGCAGGAGGAACCUGCAGUGGAGCUGAUGCCCGUGCCUGGCCUUGCCCGGGGGGCGAAGAGGGCCGAGUAGAUAGCAGUUGAGACACUCUGCCCUACAGACACUGGUAGGAGGCAGCCUCUGCAAUGGACAUAGGACAGGUGAGGAAUGGAUGAGGGGGGACGACACACAGAUAUACCCUGAGUGGACAAAACAUGACAUAGACUGACCAGGUGCAUCUUGGUGAAAGCUAUGAUCCCUUAUUGAUGUCACUUGUUAAAUCCACUUCAAUCAGUGUGCAUGAAGGGGAGGAGACAGAUUAAAGAAGGAUGUUUAAGCCUUGAGACAAUUGAGACAUGGAUUGUGAAUGUGUGCCAUUCAGAGGGUGAAUGAACAAGAUAAAAGAUGUCAGUGACUUUGAACAGGUUAUGGUAGUAGGUGCCAGGUGCAAUGGUUUGUGUCAAGAACUGAAACGCUCCUGGGUUUUUCACGCUCAACAGUUUCCUGUGUGUAUCAACAAUAGUUCACCACCCAAAGGACAUCCAGCCAACUUGACACAACUGAGGGAAGCAUUGGAAUCAACAUGGGCCAGCAUCCCUGUGGAACUUAUUUCGCCACCUUGUAGAGUCCAUGCCCCGACGAAUUGAGGCUGUUCUGAGGGCA
ensembl:lncRNA